AUUGAACGCUGGCGGCAGGCCUAACACAUGCAAGUCGAGCGAGCGGCGGACGGGUGAGUAAUGUCUGGGAAACUGCCUGAUGGAGGGGGAUAACUACUGGAAACGGUAGCUAAUACCGCAUACCAUCAGAUGUGCCCAGAUGGGAUUAGCUAGUAGGUGGGGUAACGGCUCACCUAGGCGACGAUCCCUAGCUGGUCUGAGAGGAUGACCAGCCACACUGGAACUGAGACACGGUCCAAACUCCUACGGGAGGCAGCAGGGGUGAAUAUUGCACAAUGGGCGAAAGCCUGAUGCAUCCAUGCCGCGUGUAUGAAGAAGGCCUUCGGGUUGUAAAGCACUUUCAGCGGGGAGGCGUUACCCGCAGAAGAAGCACCGGCUAACUACGUGCCAGCAGCCGAGGUGUUUC
rnacentral:rRNA from 1 species